CCUACGGGUGGCAGCAGUGGGGAAUAUUGCGCAAUGGGGGAAACCCUGACGCAGCAACGCCGCGUGAGUGAAGAAGUAUCUCGGUAUGUAAAGCUCUAUCAGCGGGGAAGAAGGAAGACGGUACCCGACUAAGAAGCCCCGGCUAACUACGUGCCAGCAGCCGCGGUAAUACGUAGGGGGCGAGCGUUAUCCGGAUGUACUGGGUGUAAAGGGAGCGUAGACGGCGUCGCAAGUCUGAAGUGAAAGCCCGUGGCUCAACCGCGGAACCGCUUUGGAAACUGCGAGGCUGGAGUGCGGGAGGGGCAGGCGGAAUUCCUGGUGUAGCGGUGAAAUGCGUAGAUAUCAGGAGGAACACCGGCGGCGAAGGCGGCCUGCUGGACCGCGACUGACGUUGAGGCUCGAAAGCGUGGGGAGCGAACAGGAUUAGAUACCCCUGUAGUC
rnacentral:rRNA from 1 species